rnacentral:rRNA from 1 species
GGUUAAGUUAACAAGGGCGCAUGGUGAAUGCCUUGGCACUAGGAGCCGAUGAAGGACGGGACUAACACCGAUAUGCUUCGGGGAGCUGUACGUAAGCUAUGAUCCGGAGAUUUCCGAAUGGGGCAACCCAGCAGUUUUAAUCAACUGUUACCACUAGAUGAAUUCAUAGUCUAGUUGGAGGUAAACGCUGUGAACUGAAACAUCUCAUUAGCAGCAGGAAUAUAAAGAAAUUUCGAUUCCCUAAGUAGCGGCGAGCGAACGGGGAACAGCCCAAACCAAAGUGCUUGCACUUUGGGGUUGUAGGACUGAACAUUUGAGUUACCAAAGAACUUGAUAGUCGAAGGAUUUGGGAAAAUCCGCCAUAGAUGGUGAUAGCCCAGUAGAUUAAAUCAAAUUCUCUCAGUUCAGGAUCCUGAGUACGGCGGAACACGUGAAAUUCCGUCGGAAUCCGGGAGGACCAUCUCCCAAGGCUAAAUACUACCUAGUGACCGAUAGUGAACCAGUACCGUGAGGGAAAGGUGAAAAGCACCCCGGGAGGGGAGUGAAAUAGUUCCUGAAACCAUGUGCCUACAAUAAGUCAGAGCGCGUUAAUGCGUGAUGGCGUGCCUUUUGUAGAAUGAACCGGCGAGUUAUGAUCCCGUGCAAGGUUAAGACUAAAAAGUCGGAGCCGUAGCGAAAGCGAGUCUGAAAUGGGCGUUUUGAGUACGAGGUUAUAGACCCGAAACCAGGUGACCUAUCCAUGUCCAGGUUGAAGGUGCGGUAAAACGCACUGGAGGACCGAACCCGUGUAAGUUGAAAAUUGCUGGGAUGAGGUGUGGAUAGCGGUGAAAUUCCAAACGAACUUGGAGAUAGCUGGUUCUCUCCGAAAUAGCUUUAGGGCUAGCCUCGGAAUUAGGAUCAUGGAGGUAGAGCACUAUUUGGACUAGGGGCCCGUCUUGGGUUACUGAAUUCAGAUAAACUCCGAAUGCCAUUGAUUCAUAUCCGGGAGUCAGACGAUGAGUGAUAAGAUCCACCGUCGAAAGGGGAACAGCCCAGACCAUCAGUUAAGGUCCCUAAAUGUAUGCUAAGUGGAAAAGGAUGUGGAGUUGCAUAGACAACUAGGAUGUUGGCUCAGAAGCAGCCACCAUUUAAAGAGUGCGUAAUAGCUCACUAGUCGAGUGAUCCUGCGCCGAAAAUGUACCGGGGCUAAGCAUACUACCGAAACCAUGGAUGCGACCAUUAGGUCGCGUGAUAGGAGAGCGUUCUAAGGGCGGUGAAGCAAGAUCGUGAGGACUUGUGGAGCGCUUAGAAGUGAGAAUGCCGGUAUGAGUAGCGAAAGAUAGGUGAGAAUCCUAUCCACCGAAUGACUAAGGUUUCCUGGGGAAGGCUCGUCCUCCCAGGGUUAGUCGGGACCUAAGUCGAGGCCGAGAGGCGUAGACGAUGGAUAACAGGUUGAGAUUCCUGUACUAGUUAAGUGCGUUUGAGCAAUGGAGGGACGCAGGAGGCUAAGAUGUGCAUUCUGUUGGAUUAGAAUGUCCAAGCAGUAAGUCUUGUGAAGAGUCAAAUGUUUUUCACUUUAAGGACAAGCUGUGAUGGGGAGCGAAAUUUAGUAGCGAAGCGUCUGAUGUCACACUGCCGAGAAAAGCUUCUAGUGAGUACUUAACUACCCGUACCGCAAACCGACACAGGUAGUCGAGGAGAGAAUCCUAAGGUGAGCGAGUGAACUCUCGUUAAGGAACUCGGCAAAAUGACCCCGUAACUUCGGGAGAAGGGGUGCUGAUCGCAAGAUCAGCCGCAGUGAAUAGGCCCAGGCGACUGUUUAUCAAAAACACAGGUCUCUGCAAAAUCGUAAGAUGACGUAUAGGGGCUGACGCCUGCCCGGUGCUGGAAGGUUAAAAGGAUGGGUUAGCUUCGGCGAAGCUCAGAAUUGAAGCCCCAGUAAACGGCGGCCGUAACUAUAACGGUCCUAAGGUAGCGAAAUUCCUUGUCGGGUAAGUUCCGACCCGCACGAAAGGCGUAACGAUCUGGGCACUGUCUCAACGAGAGACUCGGUGAAAUUAUAUUGUCCGUGAAGAUGCGGACUACCCGCGACAGGACGGAAAGACCCCAUGGAGCUUUACUGUAGCUUGAUAUUGAGUGUUUGUACAGCUUGUACAGGAUAGGUAGGAGCCAUAGAAACCGGAACGCUAGUUUCGGUGGAGGCGUUGGUGGGAUACUACCCUCGCUGUAUGACCACUCUAACCCGCACCACUAAUCGUGGUGGGAGACAGUGUCAGGUGGGCAGUUUGACUGGGGCGGUCGCCUCCUAAAAAGUAACGGAGGCGCCCAAAGGUUCCCUCAGAAUGGUUGGAAAUCAUUCGCAGAGUGUAAAGGCACAAGGGAGCUUGACUGCGAGACAGACAGGUCGAGCAGGGACGAAAGUCGGGCUUAGUGAUCCGGUGGUACCGUAUGGAAGGGCCAUCGCUCAACGGAUAAAAGCUACCCUGGGGAUAACAGGCUUAUCUCCCCCAAGAGUCCACAUCGACGGGGAGGUUUGGCACCUCGAUGUCGGCUCAUCGCAUCCUGGGGCUGUAGUCGGUCCCAAGGGUUGGGCUGUUCGCCCAUUAAAGCGGUACGCGAGCUGGGUUCAGAACGUCGUGAGACAGUUCGGUCCCUAUCCGUCGCGGGCGUAGGAAAUUUGAGAGGACCUGUCCUUAGUACGAGAGGACCGGGAUGGACAUACCUCUGGUGUACCAGUUGUGCCGCCAGGCGCAUCGCUGGGUAGCUACGUAUGGAUGUGAUAAACGCUGAAAGCAUCUAAGUGUGAAACACACCUCGAGAUGAGAUUUCCCAUUCCUUUAUGGAAGUAAGACCCCUGAAAGAUGAUCAGGUAGAUAGGUUAGAAGUGGCAGUGCGGUGACGCAUGAAGCGGACUAAUACUAAUCGGUCGAGGACUUAACCAA